CUACGGGCUGCUGCAGUGAGGAAUAUUGCACAAUGGGGGGAACCCUGAUGCAGCAACGCCGCGUGGAGGAUGACGCAUUUCGGUGUGUCAACUCCUUUUAUAUGUCAAGAAAAUGACGGUAGCAUAUGAAUAAGCGCCGGCUAACUCCGUGCCAGCAGCCGCGGUAAUACGGAGGGCGCAAGCGUUGCUCGGAAUCACUGGGCGUAAAGGACGCGUAGGCGGGUUGAAAAGUCAGGUGUGAAAGCCUACAGCUUAACUGUAGAACUGCACUUGAAACUCUCAAUCUAGAGUAUGGGAGGGGCAGAUGGAAUUAGUGGUGUAGGGGUAAAAUCCGUAGAUAUCACUAGGCAUACCUAAAGCGAAGGCGAUCUGAUGGAACAUUACUGACGCUAAGGCGUGAAAGCGUGGGGAGCAAACAGGAUUAGAUACCCUAGUAGUC
rnacentral:rRNA from 1 species